GUUCAAAUCGUUAACACAUCAAACAAACAAGCUCCUGUAAAAAAAAGCGUCUGCACUCGCCUGGAACAAAACCCGCGCAAACUAAUUCGCACAAUAUCGAUACACCUCACACUUCCCCCCUAGCCUAGCCACAAAACGUCUCCUCUGGUGCAAUCAUCCAUCCUACACAUAGAAGAAAGCGACAAGAACAAACACGUGUGAAGAACAAGAGCGAACAUGAAAUAAAUACCACCAAAAAAACGCGUUGGCGACAAAGCAAAACCAAGCCAAACAAGGAACAACACCAUAUAUACUUUU